AUUGAACGCUGGCGGCAGGCCUAACACAUGCAAGUCGAACGAGUGGCGGACGGGUGAGUAAUGUCUGGGAAACUGCCUGAUGGAGGGGGAUAACUACUGGAAACGGUAGCUAAUACCGCAUACCAUCAGAUGUGCCCAGAUGGGAUUAGCUUGUUGGUGGGGUAACGGCUCACCAGGGCGACGAUCCCUAGCUGGUCUGAGAGGAUGACCGGCCACACGGGAACGGGGACACGGACCAGACGCCUACGGGAGGCAGCAGUGGGGAAUAUUGCGCAGUGGGCGAAAGCCUGAUGCAGCCAGGCCGCGUGUAUGAAGAAGGCCUUGGGGUUGUAAAGUACGUUCAGCGGGGAGGCGUUACCCGCAGAAGAAGCACCGGCUAACUACGUGCCAGCAGCCGCGGUAAUAC
rnacentral:rRNA from 1 species